GUGAGAGCCAUUGCUUACCGAACAGUGUGACCCUGCUAAAGAGCUAACAUGUCAGAGAAGAAACCSACCGUAGAUUUGGGCUUACUGGAGGAGGAUGAUGAAUUUGAAGAAUUCCCAGCUGAGGAUUGGUUGGAUGAAGAUGAAGAUGCUCAUGUUUGGGAAGAUAACUGGGACGACGACAACAUAGAUGAUGAUUUCUCAAAUCAGCUGAGAGCGGAGCUGGAAAAGCACGGUUACAAGAUGGAGACGUCGUAGUGGAUCGCAAGGCCUUCCAGUGCUCAUACGCUGGAUAUGGACACUUAUAUUUCAUUUUUCCUGGCUCACAAUGCACCACAAGAUGUUGAUUAGUUUUAUUUUUGUGUUUUGGUAAGAAAUAUUGGAAGUAAAGUAUUGGAGGAGA